UCAUCUCAUCAGGAGGACCACAGUACUUAAGCUGUCUUCAGACCUUGCCUCGACGCCGCAGUGUUUAAUCAGUUUGGUUAGCACCUAAGCCUAGAACCUCCUGAGAACUUUGCUAUCUCUGAGUCCAGUUUGGAUUCUAACCUUUUUGUCUCUGCUUCCAGGUUACCUGUUUUUCUCCUGUGAAUCUCUGGAAGAGCUUAACCUGCCGAGCCUGCCCUCUGAGCCAAACCUGAAGACUAUCUUCUGGAUUUCCAAGCAGCUCUGGAUUUAGAGCUGGGAACUCAAACCUAGGUCAACACCCUCACUAGAAGUAAGACGCUGAAACAGUUAUCGGACUCUGCUGAACCAAACCAUCUCCGGACCCAACAGUUCCUCUCCCAAAGUCUCUUCUACGCAUCUCAAGACUCCAGUGAACCAGUCCCCAGGCCUGAACCAGCAAACUGUACAUUUACUACGUGCUUGUGUAACAAUAAACUUGUUAACUUUU